GCGACGGGUGAGUACACGUGGGCAAUCUGCCCUUCACUCUGGGACAAGCCCUGGAAACGGGGUCUAAUACCGGAUAACACUCUGUCCCGCAUGGGACGGGGUUAAAAGCUCCGGCGGUGAAGGAUGAGCCCGCGGCCUAUCAGCUUGUUGGUGGGGUAAUGGCCUACCAAGGCGACGACGGGUAGCCGGCCUGAGAGGGCGACCGGCCACACUGGGACUGAGACACGGCCCAGACUCCUACGGGAGGCAGCAGUGGGGAAUAUUGCACAAUGGGCGAAAGCCUGAUGCAGCGACGCCGCGUGAGGGAUGACGGCCUUCGGGUUGUAAACCUCUUUCAGCAGGGAAGAAGCGAAAGUGACGGUACCUGCAGAAGAAGCGCCGGCUAACUACGUGCCAGCAGCCGGGAGUAAUACG
rnacentral:rRNA from 1 species